UCUCCGUUGGUGAACAGCGGAGGGAUCAUUACCGAGUGCAAACUCAUAACCCUUUGUGAACCUAUAUCUGUUGCUUCGGCGGCUCGCUCUCGGGCGAGCCCGCCGGUAAUAUCAGUAUCUCUGUUUGAACCCGACGAUACUUCUGAGUGUUCUUAGCGAACAGUUAAAACUUUUAACAACGGAUCUCUUGGCUCUA
rnacentral:misc_RNA from 1 species